UACGGAGGGUGCAAGCGUUACUCGGAAUCACUGGGCGUAAAGAGCGUGUAGGCGGAUAGAUAAGUCAGAAGUGAAAUCCAAUAGCUUAACUAUUGAACUGCUUUUGAAACUGUCUAUCUAGAGUAUGGGAGAGGUAGAUGGAAUUUCUGGUGUAGGGGUAAAAUCCGUAGAGAUCAGAAGGAAUACCGAUUGCGAAGGCGAUCUACUGGAACAUAACUGACGCUGAGACGCGAAAGCGUGGGGAGCAAACAGG
rnacentral:rRNA from 1 species